rnacentral:rRNA from 1 species
GAUGAACGCUGGCGGCGUGCCUAAUACAUGCAAGUCGAGCGAACAGACGAGGAGCUUGCUCCUCUGACGUUAGCGGCGGACGGGUGAGUAACACGUGGAUAACCUACCUAUAAGACUGGGAUAACUUCGGGAAACCGGAGCUAAUACCGGAUAAUAUAUUGAACCGCAUGGUUCAAUAGUGAAAGACGGUUUUGCUGUCACUUAUAGAUGGAUCCGCGCCGCAUUAGCUAGUUGGUAAGGUAACGGCUUACCAAGGCAACGAUGCGUAGCCGACCUCAGAGGGUGAUCGGCCGCACUGGAACUGAGACACGGUCCAGACUCCUACGGGAGGCAGCAGUAGGGAAUCUUCCGCAAUGGGCGAAAGCCUGACGGAGCAACGCCGCGUGAGUGAUGAAGGUCUUCGGAUCGUAAAACUCUGUUAUUAGGGAAGAACAAAUGUGUAAGUAACUAUGCACGUCUUGACGGUACCUAAUCAGAAAGCCACGGCUAACUACGUG